CCUACGGGUGGCUGCAGUGGGGAAUAUUGGGCAAUGGGGGCAACCCUGACCCAGCGACGCCGCGUGAGGGAAGACGGCCUUCGGGUUGUAAACCUCUUUUGUACGGGAAGAAGGACGUGACGGUACCGUGCGAAUAAGUCCCGGCUAACUACGUGCCAGCAGCCGCGGUAAUACGUAGGGGACGAGCGUUGUCCGGAAUUACUGGGCGUAAAGGGCGCGCAGGCUGUAGAUCAAGUCAGCUGUGAAAUGUCUGGGCUUAACCCGGGCAUGCGGUUGAAACUGAUGUACUGGAGUGCUGUAGAGGCAAGUGGAAUUCCCAGUGUAGCGGUGAAAUGCGUAGAUAUUGGGAAGAACACCGGUGGCGAAGGCGACUUGCUGGGCAGCAACUGACGCUGAGGCGCGAAAGCCAGGGGAGCAAACGGGCUUAGAUACCCCUGUAGUC
rnacentral:rRNA from 1 species